rnacentral:rRNA from 1 species
CCUACGGGAGGCAGCAGUGGGGAAUAUUGCGCAAUGGGCGAAAGCCUGACGCAGCGACGCCGCGUGAGGGAUGAAGGUCUUCGGAUCGUAAACCUCUGUCAGCAGGUAAGAACGGUCACUGUGCUAAUCAGCAGUGAAUUGACGGUACCUGCAAAGGAAGCACCGGCUAACUCCGUGCCAGCAGCCGCGGUAAUACGGAGGGUGCGAGCGUUAAUAGGAAUUACUGGGCGUAAAGCGCUCGUAGGCGGUAUGUCAAGUCAAGGGUGAAAUCCCCGCGCUCAACGUGGGAACUGCCUUUGAAACUGGCAAACUGGAGUGUGUGAGAGGAUAGUGGAAUUCCAGGUGUAGGAGUGAAAUGCGUAGAUAUCUGGAGGAACAUCAGUGGCGAAGGCGACUAUCUGGCACAUAACUGACGCUGAGGAGCGAAAGCGUGGGUAGCAAACAGGAUUAGAUACCCCUGUAGUC